rnacentral:snoRNA from 1 species
CUUCAGUGAGGAUGAAAUGACGAGUCUGAAAGGAGAGAUCCUUGGCCCAUUGUCCUUCUCCGUGUUACUUUCUGUAUCAUGGAUGCCUGGACUUUGAGUUGGAGUCCUCUGCUGAUGACUUAGAGGCAUUUGUCUGAGAAGG